GACGAACGCUGGCGGCGUGCUUAACACAUGCAAGUCGAACGGAAAGGCCCUGCUUUUGUGGGGUGCUCGAGUGGCGAACGGGUGAGUAACACGUGAGUAACCUGCCCUUGACUUUGGGAUAACUUCAGGAAACUGGGGCUAAUACCGGAUAGGAGCUCCUGCUGCAUGGUGGGGGUUGGAAAGUUUCGGCGGUUGGGGAUGGACUCGCGGCUUAUCAGCUUGUUGGUGGGGUAGUGGCUUACCAAGGCUUUGACGGGUAGCCGGCCUGAGAGGGUGACCGGCCACGUUGGGCCUGGGCUGCGGCCCAGCCUCCUACGGGAGGCAGCGGUGCGGUAUAUUGCACAAUGGGCUGAAGCCUGAUGCAGCCCCGCCGCGUGCGGUAUGACGGCCUUCGGGUUGUAUUCCGCUUUCGCCUGUGACGAAGCGUGAGUGACGGUAAUGGGUAAAGAAGCACCGGCUAACUACGUG
rnacentral:rRNA from 1 species